rnacentral:rRNA from 1 species
CGACCCGCUCAAGAAACUUAAAGGAAUUAGACGGGGACCCGCACAAGCAGCGGAGCAUGUGGUUUAAUUCGAAGCAACGCGAAGAACCUUACCAGAUCUUGACAUCCAAUUGACCAUCUUUUAAUCGAGAUUUUGCCUUCGGGUACAAUUGAGACAGGUGGUGCAUGGUUGUCGUCAGCUCGUGUCGUGAGAUGUUGGGUUAAGUCCCGCAACGAGCGCAACCCUUGUGUUUAGUUGCAAACAGGUCAAGCUGUGCACUCUAGACAGACUGCCGUGGACAACACGGAGGAAGGUGGGGAUGACGUCAAAUCAUCAUGCCCCUUAUGAUCUGGGCUACACACGUGCUACAAUGGCCGGUACAACGGGCAGCGAAGGAGCGAUCCGGAGCGAAUCCUAAAAAGCCGGUCCCAGUUCGGAUUGCAGGCUGAAACUCGCCUACAUGAAGUUGGAGUUGCUAGUAAUCGCGAAUCAGAAUGUCGCGGUGAAUGCGUUCCCGGGUCUU